UACGUAGGGUGCGAGCGUUGUCCGGAAUUAUUGGGCGUAAAGAGCUCGUAGGCGGUCUGUCGCGUCGGCUGUGAAAACCCGGAGCUCAACUCCGGGCCUGCAGUCGAUACGGGCAAACUGGGAGUGUUGCAGGGGAGACUGGAAUUCCUGGGUGUAGCGGUGAAAUGCGCAGAUAUCAGGAGGAACACCGGUGGCGAAGGCGGGUCUCCUGGGCAACAACGUGACGCUGGAGGAGCGAA
rnacentral:rRNA from 1 species